AUUGAACGCUGGCGGCAUGCCUUACACAUGCAAGUCGAACGGUAACAGGUCUUCGGAUGCUGACGAGUGGCGAACGGGUGAGUAAUGCAUCGGAACGUGCCCAGUAGUGGGGGAUAGCCCGGCGAAAGCCGGAUUAAUACCGCAUACGACCUGAGGGUGAAAGGGGGGGAUCGCAAGACCUCUCGCUAUUGGAGCGGCCGAUGUCAGAUUAGCUAGUUGGGGGGGUAAAGGCCUACCAAGGCAACGAUCUGUAGUUGGUCUGAGAGGACGACCAGCCACAAGAGGAAUGAGACACGGCCGAGACUCCUACGGGAGGCAGCAGUGGGGAAUUUUGGACAAUGGGCGCAAGCCUGAUCCAGCAAUGCCGCGUGCAGGAAGAAGGCGUUCGGGUUGUAAACUGCUUUUGUCAGGGAAGAAAGCUUCUGGGUUAAUACCUCGGGAGGAUGACGGUACCUGAAGAAUAAGCACCGGCUAACUACGUGCCAGCAGCCGCCGUAACAC
rnacentral:rRNA from 1 species